rnacentral:rRNA from 1 species
UGGGGAAUAUUGGACAAUGGGCGAAAGCCUGAUCCAGCCAUGCCGCGUGUGUGAAGAAGGCCUUUUGGUUGUAAAGCACUUUAAGUGGGGAGGAAAAGCUUAUGGUUAAUACCCAUAAGCCCUGACGUUACCCACAGAAUAAGCACCGGCUAACUCUGCGCCAGCAGCCGCGGUAAUACAGAGGGUGCAAGCGUUAAUCGGAAUUACUGGGCGUAAAGCGCGCGUAGGUGGUUAUUUAAGUCAGAUGUGAAAGCCCCGGGCUUAACCUGGGAACUGCAUCUGAUACUGGAUAACUAGAGUAGGCGAGAGGGGAGUAGAAUUCCAGGUGUAGCGGUGAAAUGCGUAGAGAUCUGGAGGAAUACCGAUGGCGAAGGCAGCUCCCUGGCAUCAUACUGACACUGAGGUGCGAAAGCGUGGGUAGCAAACAGGAUUAGAUACCCUGGUAGUCCACGCCGUAAACGAUGUCUACCAGUCGUUGGGUCUUUUAAAGACUUAGUGACGCAGUUAACGCAAUAAGUAGACCGCCUGGGGAGUACGGCCGCAAGGUUA